AUAUUCUCAUUUAUAUUCUUGCAUUUUCUUUACUGUUUUAAAUAUGUGAUACUAUUUAAAUUGUGAUACUAUUUAGAUUAUGAAAGUAAAAGGCUGAGCCUUCGAUUUCUUUUCAUUUCUUUUCAUGUAUUUUUUUAUUGUUUUAAAUAUGUGAUAGUUAUUAUUGUACAUAAACUGUUGUACUUUAUUACUUUAAAUAGACUGUUAUAAUUUAUCAUUUUGAAUGGUCGGUGCCACCCUAUCUAAAUAAACUGUUGUAAUUUGCUACUUUAAAUGGUCGGUCAAAAUCACCUAAUUUGUUAAAAAUAUGACCCCACCGGAUGAAUAGCAAUUGGCGGUGAAUGGUAAUUUCCAAUGGUGAAUAGCACAUUCGGUAGUGAAUUCCCGACGAUGAAUAGUAUCUCCGGCGAUAAAUAGUACCCUGGAUAAAAAAAAUGCUCGAUAAGAUGAGUAAUGACCAAGGAAGGUGAAUAGUAACUAUCCUGAUAAAUAGUACUGUUGGCGGUGAACAGUACUGGCGAAUGAAUAAUAUGUUUUUUAUUUUUUAUUUUUUUAAUCUUAUUGCUAUGAUUUGUUAGAUUCGAUUUGUGUUAUAAUAAUCUCUCAAUCCCACGUCUUUUAUUUAGUUUUGUAAUUAUUCUGUGUUGUAAUAGUUCCCAACCCCCGCUUCUUUCUACCUUUUUUUAUGUAUGUCUUCAAACCCCAUUUCUGUCUAUCCCUUUUAUUUACUCAUUUUCCAUAUCUGUACAUAGCAUCAUAUUUUAUUUUUCGUCAUAUCCAUGCUUUAAAUCCAUAUUCCAUACAUUUAUAUUCGGCACAUUUGCUCCUGUGAAUUUAAUUAAUUCUUAUGUGAUUUUGUGUGGUACCUCAUGUCUUGAGAUGACUCACAUGUCAUGUUUUAGUAGCCCAAUCUCUAUUCGCAUUUUGUGUAUGUAUGGUAUUAUGAUUUUGUAUAUCAUACAUGUUUUACUAAUUUUGUUUUGCACUUAUUUGCGGAAAGUUGGUAAAUAUGUAAGUUUUUGUACUUUAACAUUCCAUUUGUGUGUGUUUUUCUUAUUAUGUUAAACAUUCUACCAUGUGGCUACUUGUUUAUGUGACAUAUCUCUAUGAAUGCCAGUGGAUAGAGGUAGUGACAUUUAAUUUGGGACAGUAUUGAUUUUUCAUAAAUGUAGACUCAAUUUAAUUGUGAGUUAUACAAAUCUCAAAAUCCUUUCAAAAUGCAUAAAAUCAAAUCGUUACAAAAUGAAUGACAUGGUAUAUAUUGGUUUGUUUCACAUAGUAAGCUUUAAUAUUUAUUAAAUAAUCGGAAUAAAAACAUGUGACGUAAAUAAAAAUUAUAUCAUGGUUUAGUAGAGGCCGAUUUUUUGACCGGGGUGAGCGGGGUACUCAAUUAAUGACCUUCUCCCUCAUACCUAAGGUUCCGAGCCAAGUAUCCUUGGUUACGACGAACAAUGGCCUUUGCAUGAAUUAUGCGUUUUCUAAUUUUCUCAAAAUAUUAAGUGACGACUCUGAGAUCUGAUGACACAAUUUAUUUCUGACAAAUAUUUUGCAAGAAAAUGAUGUUUCUAUAAAAAUUAUCAAAUGUAAACUCUUAUCCACGUUUCACAUUUUACUUGUAAAAUUAGAUUUUAAAAAAAUCAAAUAUUCAAACUAUUUAAUGCACCCACGUACCGGGAAUUUUACACAUCAUAAUGAAGUUAUGCACAUACAACUUACAAGAUGUGGCCCUCGCCGAUCACGUGGCGUGACUCCGCACCCACCAUUUCCUAUCAGUGAAGACAUACAUUUGAUUCAAUUUGGGGCUCUGCUUGUUUCUCACUCUACAGUACACAAACAACACAUUGCUUACAAGUAACAUCCUCUCUUCUUGUCUUUCUCUCUCACAUAAAAAUUAGAUAUAUUGAUUUUAUGGUUAUUUGUUCUUAAAAAUGAUGUAGUCUGAUUGGCUACAAUUGGCGAUUUUUAUUUGUGAUUGUUUAUGCUACAAUUAGUGGUUUUGAUAAGUUGCACUUAGAGAUUUUGAUUUGUGGUGAAUUUGUGCUAAAAUUAAUAUUUUUGAUUUAUUAAAAUUGGCAAGUUUGAUUGUUGUCUUUUUUUAUGGCAUUGAUAAUACUAUCAUCAAGUGUGUGGGAAACUAAAUUUGAAAAAAAUCCUUGAAUCCAGACGGGCUUGAAAGAUCCCUUUAAUGUCACCUAAAACAGAUAAACAAUUCCAGUUGAUGGUGCCGGAAUUAACACUCUGACACUUCAGUCAGUUUUUCUCCCAUAAGAUUUGAUAUUUUAUCUUACUUAAAGUGUAAAUUAUGUCCUUUCCAUUUUUAUAGAGUUUUUUCCUGGUCCCACUUACUUAUCAUGCUUUCUUCGAAUGGGACAACAAGGUUGUCUAGUGGGGCCUCGCCGACUACCCUAGACUACUCGGCUUUGGCAUACAGAGCGAACAUCCCUCUAUUCGGCAUUUAGAGAGACUUACAAUGUUUACGCGGCUCUGAUUCAGCCCAACAGAUUUGUCCAAUGGGCCGAUCUAAGAUUGGGCAUAGCUGGGUUGGACUUGCUUGGGCCUCAUCCCUCUUUUUGGGCUUCUAUCUAAUUUCGGCUCCCACAAUUACCCUCCGAGUAUUCGGCUGCUCAUGAUUCCCAGUAGUCGGCAUGCUCGGUUGGCGAAAAAUUGAGUUGUCAUUUGAACAUUGAAGGUGCUUUGGAACGUGGGAAUGCAGCGGACGCAUCCUUUCAAUACUAACGCGUCAAAAAAGACGUGGGGAGGAGUGAUUGUUGUUUCCCACCUCUUCACACUCUCCGUUCAUAUAAUGUGAUUUGAAAUCCCUUCACCUCUCCGUUUCUCGUGGGAUUUCAUUCUUACUAGACACUUGCAACCCUCUGGCUUCAGGACCUCAUCUAUAACUGUUCUGCUCCACUUUUAGUCAUGCUCUUUUUAUCUCCAUCUGCAAGUCUUCUAAGAUCUACUCUCUCUUCUAUUUUGCAUUUUCGAUCCUUUGUGUCUCUUCUCUCUUCCAUUCCAGUCCUCCCAUGGUGAAACAUUUAAAGGCCCUUCUUUUUUAGGAUAGAAUUGCCGCCUUUUGUCAUCACUUUUCCAUCCCUGACGACAUUCACCUAUCCCAUGUUAGAGAUGGAGAGGACUUAUGUAAACACCAUCGUCUUCCUUCUUUUGGCGAUUGCCGAGGGAGGUGUAUGUUUCCCCCUUCAUCCUACCCUUAGGUUUGUUUUGCGCCAUUGGGGUUUGAUUCCUUCUUAGCCAAACGUAAACUUUUACCGAAUCAUAAUAGGCGUCGUAAAAUUGAAUCACCAUCUUCCCCUUGACCAAGGAAUUCCUGUUAUUCGGCAUUGCUAUGUCCUUGCCAAUCUUCUGGUCAGCAGGGGCGUUAUUUUCUUAGAGCCAAGGACACCAAUCACAAUCUGGUCACCAUGCUUUCCAGUUCUAGCAAAAGGGUGGAUGACGUGAUGGUUGCCGUUCGAGGCAACUAGGAGUUCGACGAGGAGGAAGAUCACCUAACUCUUGUGCCUAGGCGUAAGGGCGGACCCGGUUGCCAACUACUCUAUUUUGAUUCCUGAUUUUGUUCGGCACUCAUUUUGCAUGCUAACCAUCUCUUUCGUGCAGGCAACGACCUCAAAAAGUCCCCUACUUCAGCAGACGAGGUUGUACUCGCCCAAAUAAAAAUCAUCAUGGACUUUGUUGGUCAGCCAAAUCUGUAAGGACAAGGUCAGGCCACCCAUAUCAUGCUCAUAUAUGACCCAUAAUUUGAACAACGUCUCGCGGCUCUCGUGUUUCCAAGCUUCCUUAAUUUGAACGACACCGGACUUGAGGAGUCGUCAGCUAGUGAGCAAGCUGGCAACGGUGAUCGCGAAGUCGAGUAGGGAUACGAUCAAUUAGUCAGGUUUGAAGUAGUGCAAGACGCAAACGUCAAGGUGGACGUUCGCCAAGCCGAAGAGUAACUUAAUAGGCAGCUUUUAGCUUCUGAACAAGUCGGCUCUAGUGGAAGGACCGAGAUCGGGAGUCCCCACGAGGAAGAUAUAUUUAUAGAUCUGAAUGACUUUCUUGGAGUCGGCUCUGAAGGCAAGACUGCUGAAUCAGAUGCUUAGUUUUCCAGGAGAAGAAACGUCAAGAAGAUGAUGGCAAGACAAAAAGUGGCGAGAGUUAAGGGAAGUCAAGAAGCCCCUCAAGUGGUGGUUGAAGUUACUGAAGCCAACCUAGUGGAAUCAGCACAACCCAUCGUAGAGCUGACGGCUGAGGAGACGUGGCCGAACACAGGGCUGAGAAACGUCUGGCUGAAUCCGUGGAGAUUGUCAAACAACUGGUUGACAAGAGGCUGAGACCUUCUCCCACUCUUGACCUAGCGGCGUCGUUCGUGAUCUAGCCGAAGGUCAAAGGAUCAGUGAUUCCAACCAGCGCCUCUGCAAUGAAGGAUCCCACUGUGGCGUUGGGUACGGUUGCGACAAUUACCCUUCCUAUUGACAAAGUUGUACUUUGAGCCGAGCCAAAUGUGGUUUCGAUCACCUUGGCAGCACAACAGGCCAUUUUGGUCGUCGAAUGGAUUGCAGAAAUCGACCGUUGCCAACAUAGUACUGUGGAAUUAAUAAAUUCGUUGAAGGCUGAAGUGUCAGCCAAGAAGAAUACGGCUAAAUCAGCUUUAGUUAAUCUAGCCAUUCCAACGUAAAGGCCAAGUUUGAAGUGAAAAGGGCCGAAGAGGAGUGGAUAAAAGCUGCUGCGGAAGAAGAAAAGACGAGGCAUGUCGAUAUGCUGCGCCGUGCUGUCGAAGAGCGGGCAAACUUCAUAGAUACCAACUUGAAGAUGGCACAAGCGGAGUUGGAGCAACUCAAGGUUGAGCUCUAGCAAGCUAAGUCAGCAGCUGAAGAAGCAUAGUCAGCGACCACCAAAGCCUUUGAGGCCAGAGAGAUGCCGGCUACAAAAAAAUACGCUGAUGAGCCCAUAAAGUUUGAAAAUAGGGGUUUUAAGCAUGGCUAGCUCAAAGCCUUAGCAGUCACGAAGGUCACACUAGAGAUGCUAAUCCUUUACGAGCAAUUAGAAGUGGAGCCUCUAGAGUCGGACCCUGAGGAGAUCUAAAGGAAUCUAAGGAUUCGGUAGCCUCAGUUUUAAUUUUAGUAACUAGUUGAUUUUUGUAAGCGAUAUUCGUUUAUGGGUUUUAUUUUUAUUUUACAUGUAUGGGCCGUCUUCAUGUAUAAAGUGAAACACAUGUAUUAAAUUAGUUUAUUAAUGAAAAGAGUCUAUUGUGCAUCAAACUAUGG